CACUUUAAAAUAAAUUCUAUACUGAGAUUCAAAUUAAUAUAAUUUACUUUCUCCUGUUAUGAGAUUUGAUUGAUAAUUAUAUUAUAUAAACUCAUAAAUUUAAAAACAAAUUUGGGGUAGAAUCCAAGUAUGAGGAAUGAUUUAGGUAAUAAAAUAAACUUAAACUGUGUGGCAGUUAUUUAUUUUAUUUAGAGAAUCUUGGUUAUUAAAUUGAUAACCCACAAUUUUAUUUUAGAAUUAAAAGCAUAUGUGUGGUUGUUUUAAGAUGAAUUAUAAUUUAAAUUUAAAUUCAAAUUACAUAUAGUAUAAUUAGAUAUAACUGAGAUGCAGUAAAUUAUGUUAGGAAAUUCAGGAUUUAAUAAUAGGCAAAAAAUGUCGAAU
rnacentral:rRNA from 1 species